GGGAAGGUGGCUCAGUGGUAGAGUGCUUGCCUUGCAUGCAUGAGGUCCUAGAUUCAAUUUCUCAGCACUACCU
rnacentral:tRNA from 1 species